UACGUAGGGUGCAGGCGUUAAUCGGAAUUACUGGGCGUAAAGCGUGCGCAGGCGGUCUGUUAAGACAGGUGUGAAAUCCCCGGGCUUAACCUGGGAAUUGCGCUUGUUACUGGCAGGCUUGAGUGUGGCAGAGGGGGGUGGAAUUCCAAGUGUAGCAGUGAAAUGCGUUGAUAUUUGGAGGAACACCGAUGGCGAAGGCAGCCCCCUGGGUUAACACUGACGCUCAUGCACGAAAGCGUGGGGAGCAAACAGG
rnacentral:rRNA from 1 species